AGUGGCAGAAAGAGGAAAGGUAUAUAUAUAUUCAGGAUCUCGCCAUACAGAACACUGAGACUCUCAUAGGCUUCCUGACAACCUCUGCUCCCUCCAAGAACACAGGAGUUCUAGAUCACACCAAGGUCACCAUGAAGUCACUCAGUGAAGCAAACACCCAGUUUGCUUUAGAUAUGUUCCGACAGUUUGGAAAAUCAAAGGAGGACAACAUCUUCUAUUCCCCUUUCAGCAUCACAUCAGCAUUUGGGAUGCUUCUAUUAGGGUGCAGAGAAAACACUGCACUACAAAUCGAGAAGGUCCUUCACUUCAAUCAACUCACAGAAAACGCAAAACAAAGAACUGCCGCAUGUCAUGUGAG